UACGUAGGGGGCAAGCGUUGUCCGGAUUUAUUGGGCGUAAAGAGCGUGUAGGCGGCUAGAUAGGUCCGUUGUGAAAACUCGAGCUCAACCUCGAGACGCCGGUGGAAACCAUCUAGCCUAGAGUCCGGAAGAGGAGAGUGGAAUUCCUGGUGUAGCGGUGAAAUGCGCAGAUAUCAGGAAGAACACCCGUGGCGAAGGCGGCUCUCUGGGACGUGACUGACGCUGAGACGCGAAAGCGUGGGGAGCGAACAGG
rnacentral:rRNA from 1 species